GACAGUGUGGUAUAGUGGUUUGUGUGUUGGACUACAACUCUGGAGCCCAAGGUUUGUUUCCUUGCUGGGCCA